rnacentral:misc_RNA from 1 species
UUCAACUUGGCCAAAGGCAAGCAAGUUCCUCAGCCCCUGCAGCAUGUGAGGAAAGUUCAUCAGCAAUAGUAACUGGUGACUUUGUUUUGCAGAAAAGGGCUCCAACAUCUAUUUCAGCAAAACACGAACAUGCUGGAAUUAUCAGCAAGGAAGUUGCAGGUCCUAGUGAAGUAUUUGGUAAAGAAGCAGUGAGCUUAGAUCACGGUCAAAGAUAUCUGGGUGUUCAAACUACUCAAGGUAUAAUUUUAGAUGAAAAAUCAUCUCCUGGUAAGGAGAAAGAUGCUCUGCAAGAAACAAAUGACAAAAUGGGAUCAGAUAUGGUUGUUGAUCCCACAAGUAUGGGUCAGUCUGAUAUUUCUGUGAAGGGGUUGCCGCUGGGUG